GAUCAAGAAGUACGAAACUCGAGGUUAGACAAAGGGAAGAAUAAAGUUGAAGACUAAGUUGGUGAAUUUGGCUAUAAUUGGUACCGAGUAUUGCAAAGCUACUUCAAGGAUCCUAAAGAAGUCGGAGAUCGUCCACACUAUCAACCACAACUGCUCGGUAUUUUAUGUCAAAACACGUUUGAGUUAUGGCAUGUAUAGGGAUUUAGUUAUUUUGUAUGUUUGUAAUGAUGAUUUUGCUAAUGAGUGAUGUGUAAGUAUUUGAUGAUGUAUGGUCAUUAAAAUGGUUAAGGAUGAAGGUGUUUGUUGUUAUGAAA